ensembl:lncRNA
GUAAACUUUCACUUCACUGGAAAAAUUUGACAUCACUUCAAACGUAAAAUGAAACUUUAUCCGUCACUGUGGAGAAUUUAGAGCACAAAGGCACAAAUGGUACCCGGACUCACUGGGAUCUGACCAGUUGAUGGUUUAGAUAAUUUUUUUUUUAAACUACCAAAGUUAUUAAAGUUUAAACUUUAUCACAGUUUGAAAAUUGUGUUUGAGGCUGCUAACAGAUAAAUAAUAAAUGAGACAUCAUCGUUACUGACAAUAACCUGCAGGUAACAACAACAUUACAACAAAGUUAAGCAGCACGCAGCUUUACCACCUGGGUCUGUUUAUCUGCAUUAAAGAGAAAUGCAGGAAGUGUCUCUGGACAUGAGAAGUCCCGAAAUGUCCCCAGAGAGUGUGGGGUCCCCUCAUGGGCUGCGAGGUCUCGCAUUUGAGCCAUCAGAGGUCAUUUAAUGUCAAUAAAUUAUUUCUUUUCCACUUAAUUGAAAUUCUGAAGUCUGUAAAACUUUGAAAUCCACAGGAAUAUAUCAUUUUUAAAAGUCACAUCUUUUAUACUUUAGAGGACAAGGUGCCCAACUCCUCUGGGAUCAGGUCCAAAGUCAAGCAGAUGUUUCUAUUAUAGAGGCCUUUUCGACUUCGCAGGGUUUAAAUAGUGUCUUCAUUUCUGGACCUGUGAUUCAUCCUGAAACUCCACGUUAUCAUUAUCACUUUAUAUUAAUAUGUGAAGGAAAGCUGUGGUGGUUUGGCUGGAUCUCCCUCUGGAGACCACAAAGCGUCAAACUGUUUUCACCUGCAGUCUUACUGAGUUUACUUGAAGAGCUCAGUGAACAAACUCAAACUUAUUGAGAAACACACACACACAUUCUCGUUUUCAUGUUUUGUUUGUGAGGACAUCUAAUUUACAUAAUGCUUUCCCUAGCUGCUAACCCUAACCAUCAGAUAUGAAUGUCUAAUCCUAACCCUCAGCCUGAACCAUAACUAUAACUAUAACCUAACUGUAACCCUGACUCUAAAACCACAUUUUGAUUCUCAAAAAUGCCUUCAGACUUGUGAGGACGGCCACUUUUGUCCUCAUAAGUCACUGUUGGUCCCCACAAGUUUAGUAAUGUUCCAAUUUUUGGUCCCCACAAAGCUGUCUAGACGGGUACACACACACAAAUACACAGCUUGUGAGCAGCAGGGGGCAGCAGACCCACAGUAGACACCCUGUGCUGCUGGUUACGUCAUACUGUUGUUUAUCGUCCUCUGUGUUGUCAUGAAUAGACUACCCGUCUACCCCCCUCCCUCGAGGGAGAUAACCGGGUAGUCCUCCAUGGAGGAUGCCACCACCACCACCAUCUGCUCCUGGAUCUUCCAAACAAACCGGCCUCAAUCAGCCCGACUCGGCCCACACCUCCCUGCAGAGCUGCGUUCUCUGCCCCCUCUGAGAUGAGACAGCGUACAGGGUGGAGGUAGAGAACUUGUCCCACUGCUGCAAAGAGAAUAACCUGAAGCUGAACGUCUCAUAAUGGACGUCAGCAGGCACAGACAGGUCCACUCAACUCUCACUGUAAAUGGAGAACAGGUGGAAUAUGAUCUCACCUGGAGUAGCGCUGGGCCAUAUCAUACCGUUCACGGUAAACCAGGCCCAUUACAGGUGAGCCCUGGCAUCCCCGCCCACCGCCUGUUUGACCCGGUGCACCUCAGUCAGGUCCACACCUCCAGACUCACUAACAGCUUCAUCCCCUGGGCCAUCAGACUGCUAACAAACCCCACCCC